rfam:Treponema pedis str. T A4, complete genome.
UUAGGGAUUAACGGAAUCGCUGUAUUUUACAGAGGAAAGUCCGGACUCCGUCGGACACGAUGCCGGCUAACGGCCGGGAAACGGGAAAGACCUUAAUAGGUUUUUCCCGUUUACGGAUAGUGCAACAGAAAAUAUACCGCCUUACAAACUCCGUUUGUAAGGUAAGGGUGAAAAGGCGGGGUAAGAGCCCGCCGCGCAAGAUAGGUAACUAUUGCGGCAGUGUAAACCCCAUCGGGAGCAAGGUUAAGCAGUAAAGAAUGUCCGAUUCUUAAUUUACGGGUUAACCGCACUGAAUUUCCGCCGCAAGACGGAAAUAAGAAAGAUGAUUCCGCCGUUUUUACGGAACAGAAUCCGGCUUAUUAAUCCCUUUUUUU